rnacentral:rRNA from 1 species
AGAGUUUGAUCAUGGCUCAGAACGAACGCUGGCGGCAGGCUUAACACAUGCAAGUCGAGCGCCCCGCAAGGGGAGCGGCAGACGGGUGAGUAACACGUGGGAACGUACCCUUUACUACGGAAUAACGCAGGGAAACUUGUGCUAAUACCGUAUGUGCCCUUUUGGGGAAAGAUUUAUCGGUAAGGGAUCGGCCCGCGUUGGAUUAGCUAGUUGGUGGGGUAAAGGCCUACCAAGGCGACGAUCCAUAGCUGGUCUGAGAGGAUGAUCAGCCACAUUGGGACUGAGACACGGCCCAAACUCCUACGGGAGGCAGCAGUGGGGAAUAUUGGACAAUGGGCGCAAGCCUGAUCCAGCCAUGCCGCGUGAGUGAUGAAGGCCCUAGGGUUGUAAAGCUCUUUCACCGGAGAAGAUAAUGACGGUAUCCGGAGAAGAAGCCCCGGCUAACUUCGUGCCAGCAGCCGCGGUAAUACGAAGGGGGCUAGCGUUGUACGGAAUUACUGGGCGUAAAGCGCACGUAGGCGGACAUUUAAGUCAGGGGUGAAAUCCCAGAGCUCAACUCUGGAACUGCCUUUGAUACUGGGUGUCUUGAGUAUGGAAGAGGUGAGUGGAAUUCCGAGUGUAGAGGUGAAAUUCGUAGAUAUUCGGAGGAACACCAGUGGCGAAGGCGGCUCACUGGUCCAUUACUGACGCUGAGGGGCGAAAGCGUGGGGGAGCAAACAGGAUUAGAUACCCUGGUAGUUCCACGCCGUUAACGAUGAAUUGUUAGCCGUCGGGCAGUAUAACUGUCGGUGGGCGCAGCCUAACGCAUUAAAACAUUCCGCUGGGGAGUACGUCGCAGAAUUAAAACUCAAAGGAAUUGACGG